AUAUUGGUCAAUGGGCGUAAGCCUGAACCAGCCAAGUCGCGUGAGGGAUGAAGGUUCUAUGGAUCGUAAACCUCUUUUAUAAGGGAAUAAAGUGCGGGACGUGUCCCGUUUUGUAUGUACCUUAUGAAUAAGGAUCGGCUAACUCCGUGCCAGCAGCCGCGGUAAUACGGAGGAUCCGAGCGUUAUCCGGAUUUAUUGGGUUUAAAGGGUGCGUAGGCGGCCUUUUAAGUCAGCGGUGAAAGUCUGUGGCUCAACCAUAGAAUUGCCGUUGAAACUGGGGGGCUUGAGUAUGUUUGAGGCAGGCGGAAUGCGUGGUGUAGCGGUGAAAUGCAUAGAUAUCACGCAGAACCCCGAUUGCGAAGGCAGCCUGCCAAGCCAUGACUGACGCUGAUGCACGAAAGCGUGGGGAUCAAACAGGAUUAGAUACCCUGGUAGUCCACGCAGUAAACGAUGAUCACUAGCUGUUUGCGAUACACUGUAAGCGGCACAGCGAAAGCGUUAAGUGAUCCACCUGGGGAGUACGCCGGCAACGGUGAAACUCAAAGGAAUUGACGGGGGCCCGCACAAGCGGAGGAACAUGUGGUUUAAUUCGAUGAUACGCGAGGAACCUUACCCGGGUUUGAACGCAUUCGGACCGAGGUGGAAACACCUUUUCUAGCAAUAGCCGUUUGCGAGGUGCUGCAUGGUUGUCGUCAGCUCGUGCCGUGAGGUGUCGGCUUAAGUGCCAUAACGAGCGCAACCCUUGCCACUAGUUACUAACAGGUAAAGCUGAGGACUCUGGUGGGACUGCCAGCGUAAGCUGCGAGGAAGGCGGGGAUGACGUCAAAUCAGCACGGCCCUUACAUCCGGGGCGACACACGUGUUACAAUGGCGUGGACAAAGGGAGGCCACCUGGCGACAGGGAGCGAAUCCCCAAACCACGUCUCAGUUCGGAUCGGAGUCUGCAACCCGACUCCGUGAAGCUGGAUUCGCUAGUAAUCGCGCAUCAGCCAUGGCGCGGUGAAUACGU
rnacentral:rRNA from 1 species